UCUCUGCUCUAAAUAUCGAUCAUAUCGAUGCUAUGCUAGUGUUCCCAUACCUUUAUAUAAGUUGCAAUAAAACUUGAAGGUAGAACUUUUUUAACUCGUUCCUUUAAUAAAACGACAAAUUUAAUUGGUUGAUUUGUCGCAUGCACAAAUCGUGGUAGCACAACUUACAGCCUAUUCGGAAAAUCUAAACCAUUUGUGCUUGUGCUUGCGCUGCAAAAGAUUCUCUAGAAUGGUACUAGCGAAUGUGGCAAUGGCAACACUUGAUAAAAUGCUUGUUUCGUUGAAUCAGGGUUGACGUUCAUAAAAAUAUCGAUGUGUUCGACACUCAAAGCCGUAACACAUUCUUCGUCGAGUUGGUAACGAACGUGGUCUAUUUAAUUGCGAGGAAAAUAAAAUAUUUUGUUUUGGAGUGGAAAAUUACGAACAUCCUGUUGUGAAGUGUGCAGAUGAAGAAUAACAGUGUCUAGUUGGAAAAAUUUUACCUGUGAAUAGUAAGCACGCAUCCAAACAUACCAACACGAACACAAACAGAUACGCAGUUUGAAUCAAUUAUUUUACAACGCUUUUUUGUGGUACAACAUCGUGCAAAGACUAAUCUGAAGUGCUCUCUUUCCCGUUUGUCUGUUUUCUCUACCUCUGUCCUAUGCCAAUGGGCUCAGGUGGUAAAAACCGUUGGACAGUCAGCAAGUGGCCUGCCCCUGAUUGCGGCCACCCCGAAUGCCCAGUAUCUGAAUACGGUUCUCAAACCGUCCACGAGCACCACCACCGGCAAUAGCGAAGCGACCACAGCCAACCUCAUUCUACUGAACAGCAAUAAGGGUCAAUCGCUAUUAUCAGCAACGCCGCCGACUCCGCCACCACCGCCGAUUGCGAUGUUAACCACCACAGAGGUCACCGCAAACGCCAACUAGUGCCAGCGGCGGGAUAGGAGAAGGCCACUCAACCGGUUUCGAGCCAGGCAGCGAACAAGCGUAUCAGCGUCCGGCAGCAGCAGGAGAGAAAAAGAAUCAAGAAUACAGUGCGCUUCCAGAGGUGUGAAAGGAACCCACGAAUUCAAUUAAUCUAUUCGUCCGACUUUCUGGACAAAGUCCUCUUGCGAAAUAAAAGAAAAAAAACAAA